AAGAGGAGAAGAAAGUCCCUUUAUUUGCUGAGUGGAAGUCGGGAAAGAGACAAACUAAUCUGUAAAGUCCCUACAGCCUAUCUGAAAGCAGUCAGGGCUAAAAAGACGAGCCCUCGCCCCCACAAAGCAGUGAAACACGCCAAAUGGCAUGAAAAACUGGAGACUGAGUGUGCUUCGUUUCCAGAAAAUGAGAAGAAAGAGAGAGGGGAGGGGAGAAAACCCAGUAAAAAUCCCCAGUUUCUUGUUUGAUCUAAGAGGAGCCCUCGUCAUCACACCAAACCUGUGGCGCAGGGACUGUCCCUGCUGGAGCAAUCGUGCACAUUUCUCACAUCGGCUCGGUGCGACAGGAAGGAUGGGGUAGCCACAUCGCCUGGGAGGAUGUGUAGCUGAGCACUCGUGCAAACAGUAGAAAUUUCUCUGGAAUGGAAGGAAGAAGAGUUAACUUUUUUGUAGUAGAUGGAUCAAGCCUAACCCAGAGCCCAAUGUGGGAAUGAGCCUAUCUGAAGCAGUGUUCGCCUCACCCUUCCCCACAAGAUCCAGCCUAUGGGUUGAGGAGGGUAGGUAUUUGCAGCAAAAAUAUUAUCACCUUUUGUCAUUUGACCCUUCCAAUACAUUCAUCUAGUGCAUGCCAGGUUACAUGGGCCUCAGCUCCCUCUCCCUGCACCCCUAACAUGGACCUAUGUUUAGGAAACCUCCAGGUUUGUUACAUGAAAUCCAUCUGUACAAGAGAAAGAAGAGCAGUUACACUAGAAGCAGCUUACAAAUGCUGGCAUCUCAGUGUGUCAGACAGUUGGAAGAGCACUCUGCCUCCUUCUGGCUGUUAGAGUCUGAAGGACCUCUCUUUAACUAAGCAUGCUGAUGGUUAACAGUCACAAUCCCCUACUCCCCCAGAAACAGUCCCCGGUCAGACCUGACACUGUGCAGGCAGCACAGGCCUCCUCUUGCUUUCCAGAGUUUUGGUUUCACAAAGCUCUCCCCUGUGCAGAUUAUUUUGGUUUCCUUUAAUCAGUAUCACAGGAAACACAUGUUUGUGCACAGCAGCCUAAAUGACCUGCUACUUCUCUGAACACGUCCCUGUGUUUGCCUGGGAGGGGCAACAUGAUGUUAAAUUGUUCAUUAGCAAGAUUUCUUGGGCCAAAACUCCUGCAUACGUGCUUGAUGUGCUUUGGUUUCAUUUGUUUUCAGAGCAAGUUACAAUACACGUGUUUUUUUCAAUGCCUGUUAUUUUCUUGAGGGUUUAAUCCAAGAGUCUUUACUCUUCUGUGAAAUGUGUUGGAUUUUAUUUCUAAGAGCCCACUAGAGCAAGGCAAUAAGAAAUUACUUGUUUGCUGAACUAUCUAAAAUGGGCUGCUAAAGCUCAGAUUGAUUCCUAGGAGACAAAAAUUGUCAUUGUCAUUCUAAGCUGAUUGUCUCAGUAAGAGAGGGCAGGUGAUAGACUAGGCAAGCUCACCCCUCUUGAUGACCCUUUCAAGUUAGGGUGGAGUUAAAUUACCAGACAGAAUGGAGCUGCAUGCCACACUGCAACAGUUCUGUGGAAGAAUAGAGGACUCUGUUCUAGGUCCAGGUCUAAAUCCAGGACUUUUCACUGGUACUAAAUUAAUUUUAAAUUAACAACAUAAAAUAAGAUAUAUGUAGAAGCACCAAUCAUCAUCAACUGAUAUAAAUUGUUGUAGCUCCACUGACUUCAGUGCCCAGCAAGAAUCAUAUGAUCAGUCAUAAUCCCCUCUUCAACCAUUGCCCUAGAGUGCGCCUCAUUAAUUCCAAGUAUCAGGGGGUAGCCGUGUUAGUCUGUAUCUACAAAAACAACAAGGAGUCUGGUGGCACCUUAAAGACUA